UACGGAGGGUGCGAGCGUUGUCCGGAAUCACUGGGCGUAAAGGGCGCGUAGGUGGCCGAGCAAGGUUGCGGUGAAAGCCCGGGGCUCAACCCCGGGUCGGCCGUGGCAACUACUCGGCUUGAGCUUACUAGAGGCAGAUGGAAUUCCGGGUGUAGCGGUGGAAUGCGUAGAGAUCCGGAAGAACACCGGUGGCGAAGGCGGUCUGCUGGGGUAAUGCUGACACUGAUGCGCGACAGCGUGGGGAGCAAACAGG
rnacentral:rRNA from 1 species